AGUUAAUGCAGGUAAUGUCACGUCUUUGGUGGUUCCAAUUGCUACUCUGGGAGCCGUGAGUUAUGGAUACAUGUGGUCGUAGGCCUGAAUUCGAAUCUCUAAUAUUCCAAUUGAUUGAAAACAUUCUCUGUCUCAGUAUUUCUUCCUUUGUGUAAGAAGUUUGAACUGUUUAUCUUUUUGUCUCUCAAUUUUAUAUGUUAGGGGUUUUCUUUCUCAUACCUCAUUUAUGUGACAAAGCAAAAUAUGUAAAAUAUUGUCUGAAACUUGACAAAACAUCUGGUCUCAGAUGCCCUUGAUGUAAGUUACUCAUAUCCUAUCAUAUAGAUAUUAAUUUGUUCUUUGAAUCUUUGAUAUAAUUAAUGUUCAUCCAUCCGAGGUUCCUCUUCAUCUGCUUGCUUAACCUGACCUUUUCUAUUCACAAUUUCAAGCAGUUACAGUUAUUUAGAGAAUGGGAAUCAGUCCAUACUAUAAAUUCUCCAUCAAACUUAAAGAGAUGUUUUUUUUCUUGGAAUUGUCAACAUUCUCAUAGUUCUUAAAGGUCCAUGCUUAUUGAAUUCAUCUGAUUCAGCCCAACUCAGGUGCUCUAUCUAUAUCUAUGUUUUCUCUAAGUUUUUGUUUCUCCUUUUUGCCCUGAAAAUCGUACGAAGUUUCAAUGUAAUAUCAAUAUAUCAGCACUUGAAACAUCUUCUGGUGAUUUUUUGGUCAACAUUUUGAAAAAGAUUAAACUUACCAAUUCUUCAAAUUCCUCUUUUUACUUUAAUUGCGUUUCAAGAUUGGGUGAUUAAUACACCUAAAAUUAAUUUUAUGAUUAUAUACUAAUCUGUAAGUGGCAGUUUAGCUUUACCUUAUUUUAUCCUACUUCCUAAUUCUUUAAAUUCCUCC
rnacentral:lncRNA from 1 species